rnacentral:lncRNA from 1 species
CAAAUUUCAUGGAUUAUGUGACAAUGGGGGAAAUUCGACCAUUGGUCUUCAGAUCCAUACAUGUCAAGACAAACAUAAAUGGCUCCGUGUUGAAGGCCGUACUUUGACCUAUAAUUGUUAACUUUUUAUACAUUGUGACUUGGAUGAAGAGUGAACUUGUCUCAUUGGCACUCAUAAACAUCUUCUUAUUUAUAUUCUUAAAGUUUCUAUUGUUGAAUAAACUUGUUCAUUGUUAUGUAUUAGCUAAUAUAUGAAAAGGUGAAACUGGGGUUUCUGAACCUACUGGCAUACGUGACAACAGUUUGAUGCCUGCCACACCUUCGAGCCAAUCUUUAGGCAAGGCCAUUUUUGAUAUUCGGGAGGGGGGGUUGAAAACCAAUAUUUGGGCCUGAUAAUUAAUUAAACUGAUUAAUUAGCUCAAGGCAGGUGGAAAAUAAAAAAAAUACAGGUAGCUAUGCAAAAAAUGAAGAAGAAAAAAUUAUGCACCCAACCUUUCUCGGGACACUCCAGCUUUCUUCUCCAAUUAAUACUGACAUCCACAAAAUAUUCCAAGCGUGUACACAGGGGCUCGGUUAGCAGAAAUAUUUUUUGUUAUCAAUAAGAAUGAAGAAUGAAAACGGAAAGUGUCAAAGAGACAACUCGACCAAAAUUUACAAAACAACUCAAGGCCACCAAUGGGUCAUAAACAUAGCGAAAAAUCCCGUACCAAGUGUACAGUAGGGCUUGAUGGGCAUUUUUUUUAUAUCAGGAUUAUUUGUAUUAACACAUUUCACUUUUCCCGAAUGUGACCUACCGAAUUAUUACCAGUGUUGUACUAACAUGAGCAAAACUAC